rnacentral:rRNA from 1 species
UACGUAGGGUGCGAGCGUUAAUCGGAAUUACUGGGCGUAAAGCGUGCGCAGGCGGUUCGCCAAGUCAGGUGUGAAAUCCCCGGGCUUAACCUGGGAAUUGCGCUUGAAACUAGCGGGCUUGAGUGUGGCAGAGGGGGGUGGGAAUUCCACGUGUAGCAGUGAAAUGCGUAGAGAUGUGGAGGAACACCGAUGGCGAAGGCAGAUCUCUGGGCCGUAACUGACGCUGAGGAGC